rfam:TPA: Bos taurus chromosome 1, whole genome shotgun sequence.
UCCCAGGUGGCUCAGAUGGUAAAGUGUCUGUCUGCAGUGCGGGAGACCCAGGUUCGAUCCCUGGGUCGGGAA